GUGCUCGCUUUGGCAGCACAUAUUACUAAAAUUGGAACGAUACAGAGAUGAGCAUGGCCCCAGUGCAAGGAUGACAUGCAAAUUCAUGAAGCGUUCCAUAUUUAA